UACGGAGGGUGCAAACGUUGCUCGGAAUCAUUGGGCGUAAAGCGCACGUAGGCGGUCGGCUAUGUCGGAUGUGAAAGCCCCGGGCUCAACCUGGGAAUGGCAUUGGAAACUGGCUUGCUAGAGUGUGGCAGAGGGGGUGGAAUUCCGCGUGUAGCAGUGAAAUGCGUAGAGAUGCGGAGGAACACCGAUGGCGAAGGCAGCCCCCUGGGCUGACACUGACGCUCAGGCACGAAAGCGUGGGGAGCAAACAGG
rnacentral:rRNA from 1 species